CCUACGGGUGGCAGCAGUAGGGAAUCUUCGGCAAUGGACGAAAGUCUGACCGAGCAACGCCGCGUGAGUGAAGAAGGUUUUCGGAUCGUAAAGCUCUGUUGGUAGAGAAGAACGUUGGUGAGAGUGGAAAGCUCAUCAAGCGACGGUAACUACCCAGAAAGGGACGGCUAACUACGUGCCGGCAGCCGCGGUAUUACGUAGGUCCCGAGCGUUGUCCGGAUUUAUUGGGCGUAAAGCGAGCGCAGGUGGUUUAUUAAGUCUGGUGUAAAAGGCAGUGGCUCAACCAUUGUAUGCAUUGGAAACUGGUAGACUUGAGUGCAGGAGAGGAGAGUGGAAUUCCAUGUGUAGCGGUGAAAUGCGUAGAUAUAUGGAGGAACACCGGUGGCGAAAGCGGCUCUCUGGCCUGUAACUGACACUGAGGCUCGAAAGCGUGGGGAGCAAACAGGAUUAGAUACCCCUGUAGUC
rnacentral:rRNA from 1 species